ensembl:lncRNA
CCUAACCCGUACAGACAGGUACAGACAGUCUGCAGGCCCUAACCCAUACACACAGGUACAGACAGUUUGCAGGCCCUAACCCGUACAGACAGGUACAGACAGUCUGCAGGCCCUAACCCAUACACACAGGUACAGACAGUCUGCAGGCCCUAACCCAUAUACACAGGUACAGACAGCAUCAACACAGUCUGCAGGCCCUAACCCAUACACACAGCGUUAACACAGUCUGCCUGGGCAUCUGGAAGCAUUGGACUGUAGAUCUCCCAGAUCUCUCCAAGUCCAUUUGGGAUUGGGUGGAGUUUGAUAGUGCUGUAGGGCAUCAUUAGUAUCUAAAACACAG